rnacentral:rRNA from 1 species
UGGGGAAUAUUGCACAAUGGGCGCAAGCCUGAUGCAGCAACGCCGCGUGAGGGAUGACGGCCUUCGGGUUGUAAACCUCUUUUAGCAGGGAAGAAGCGAGAGUGACGGUACCUGCAGAAAAAGCACCGGCUAACUACGUGC